GGGAACGUGGCUCAGUGGUAGAGCUCUUGCCUUGCAUGCAUGAGGCCCUGGGUUCGAUUCCUCAGCACCA
rnacentral:tRNA from 1 species